GGGGUUUAUGGACUUCAAGAAGGAAUAUGUUAUAUGUCCCAGGAGGGUUUUUACCCACCCAGCAACACCAGGAAUUCUCGUUUUUCAAAUCCUCAAUUGAACAAUUUUGUGUCUAAUUACUUCAUUAAAAUUUCAGAAACCACUUAGCCAAGCUGGGAAAAAAUGGUGGCGAAACAGAGUGGCAGAAACCGAGGAGGCGGUGGCGGAGGAACCGCCGCUGCAACGGAAGUUUCUGUCGAGGAAUUAGCACGUGUUCCCUUGCAAGCCAUCCUCUUAGCUGAUAGCUUCGCCACUAAGUUCCGCCCGAUAACCCUUGAGCGCCCGAAGGUUUUGCUGCCGCUAGUGAAUGUUCCGAUGAUUGAUUAUACUUUAGCGUGGCUAGAAUCAGCUGGAGUUGAAGAGGUUUUUGUGUUUUGUUGUGCUCAUGCGAAACAAGUGGCUGAGCAUUUGGAAAAUUCGCAGUGGUUUGCACAACCGAACUUUUCUGUGACGGCUAUCGAAUCGAACAAUGCGGUUGGUGCUGGUGAUGCUUUGCGUUUGAUAUAUGAGCAAAAUGUGAUACGUGGAGAUUUUGUCCUUGUUAGUGGAGAUACAGUGAGUAAUAUGUCUCUUGCAGAGGCACUUGGAGAACAUAAGGAGAGGAGGAGAAAGGAUAGCAAUGCCAUAAUGACCAUGGUCAUAACACAGUCAAAAACAUCUCCAACAACUCGUCAAUCUCGUCUUGGAACUGAUGAGUUGUUUAUGGCAAUUGAUCCUGAUACAAAGCAACUCCUCUAUUACGAGGAUAAGUCUGAUAAAGGAACAGUGUCACUUGAUAAGACAUUGCUUUCUGAUCAUCCAUCUAUUUAUCUGCAUAAUGACAAGCAGGAUUGCUACAUUGACAUUUGCUCUCCGGAAGUCCUGAGCACAUUCGCUGACAAUUUUGACUAUCAACAUCUACGGCGUCAUUUUUUGAAGGGUUUGCUUGAUGAUGAUAUAAUGGGUUACAAGAUUUUCACUCAUGAAAUUCAAUCAAAUUAUGCGGCUAGAAUUGAUAAUUUCCGAAGCUAUGAUACUGUCAGCAAGGACAUUAUUCAAAGAUGGACAUAUCCAUUGGUGCCUGAUGUACAAUUUUUUGGAAAUUCUUCUACUAAACUUGACAGACAAGGAAUGUACCGAGCAUCAGUGGUGGGGCAGUCACGUUCUGCGCAAGUUGGGCCAUUUACCGUUAUAGGAAGUGGCACUACCAUUGGAAGCCAGUCUCAAAUUUCAAAUUCAGUAGUUGGUGAAGGUUGUAAAAUUGGUGCAAAUGUUUCAAUAGAGGGUUGCUACAUAUGGCACAAUGUUACGAUUGAAGAUGGUUGUCAACUAAAGCAUGCAAUAGUGUGUGAUGGGGUGGUAAUAAAGUCAGGAGUGAUUCUGGAACCUGGUGUAGUCUUGUCAUACAAGGUUGUGGUAGGACAACAGUUUAUUGUUCCUGCAUACUCAAAGGUAUCCUUGUAUCAGCAGCCCAUCAAACAAGAUAGUGAUGAGGAACUGGAAUAUGCUGACAGCAGCACUGGAUUCAUGGAUGCUUCAUCACUGUCUGGUUUGCCAGAUAAGUUGAAGGAAGAGUCAACUAUACAAUUAUCUGAGUCGCAGCUGCAGGCUGCAUCUGAGGUUGGUAGUGGUGGGGUUGGUUUCAUUUGGUCCACAAGUGAGGGCAGUCAUGAAGAGGAAUGGAGGCAUUCAGUUGCACCUAUUCCUCCAGCCAAGCUUCUUGAAAUUAUGCACACCUCAAACAAUGAACUUGAGGUGGUGCAACAAGAUGGCAAUCUUCCUCCUUCAGGGGAGCUGGAACGUGAUUCUGUUACUGCUAAUUCGAAUGAUUAUGAUGAUGAUGAUGUUGAUGUCAAAGAUGACUAUGAGUUUUUUGAGAACGAGGUUGAAGCUACUUUUAAACGGGCUCUAGAGGAGAAUAUUAAGGAAGACGAUGUAAUAUUGGAGGUCAAUUCAUUGCGGUUGUCGUACAAUUUGGCAACUGCAGAUUGUUCUGGUGCAUUAUUCUAUUCAAUGAUGAAGUCAGCACUCAGUGCACCACAUCCAUCACCUAGUGAUUUGGUGAAAAAUGCUGCAACUGUCAUUACAAAAUGGAAAAAACUUUUGAAGUAUUACCUGCCAAGUAUAGAUGAAGAGGUUGGUCUAUUGAUCUCUUCAUCUGAUCCUGAUGAGAUCGAAGUGAUACUGAAAUUUGAAGAAAUGUGCUUGGAAUCUGCAAAGGAGUAUUCAACAGUGUUUGUACAGAAACAGGUUUUACCCAAAUUCCAGAUGAUCCAUACAAAAUCCGUAAAUGCUGAGCGAUUGGAGGUGCCACAUUCUGCAUCUUCUUUAUGACAAAGAUAUCAUACAAGAGGAAGCAAUACUCAACUGGGCAUCUGAGAAGGAAGGUGCUGAUGAGACUGAUAAGCUAUUUGUCAAGCAGGCAGAAAAAUUCAUCCAGUGGUUGAACGAAGCAUCUGAAGAAGAGGAUUGAUAAAAUGUUUAAAUCAGGUCACCGAUUUUCAAGAUCUGUCUCUUCGAGUAUCAUCAUCAAGUGCUUGAGAUCAUCAACCCCUUUUCCUCGUGCCUUGAUUGCUUGGAGGCUGUGUAUAUGUUCUAGAACUUCAUGGAGGUCUUAUAACCUGUCUGCCGGUCGUGCACGAUCUGACUUCUGGCAACUGCUUCCAUCUGCAAUUUUAACAUUCUGUCUGUGGUCAGACAAAUUGCUCACGAGCAAUUUCCCAUUUUUUGUCCAUGAACUGAAGGAUUAUGGAGCGAGUAUGAACUUUGAAGGAUUAUGCUGAAUGGAAGUGUAAAUUUUGGGUUUUGCAUUGUAGUAAAGAAUAUAAAACUAACAAUGUAAAUUCAUUGAUGAAAGGCAGUUCAUUGCUAAUAAUUUGUUUUGUUGUCUGUUGUUAAGUGAUUGGGGAAUUUGUACCCCUUCAUCCCUUUUGAACAAUUAUGCAGUGAAUUUAGUUCA